UGAGGAAUAUUGGUCAAUGGGCGCAAGCCUGAACCAGCCAUCCCGCGUGCAGGAAGACGGCCCUAUGGGUUGUAAACUGCUUUUCCAGGGAGAGAAACCUGCGCACGUGUUGCGCAAUUGACGGUACCCUGGGAAUAAGCAUCGGCUAACUCCGUGCCAGCAGCCGCGGUAAUACGGAGGAUGCAGGCGUUAUCCGGAUUCAUUGGGUUUAAAGGGUGCGUAGGCGGACUAUUAAGUCAGUGGUGAAAGCCUGCAGCUCAACUGCAGGACUGCCAUUGAUACUGAUAGUCUUGAGUUUGGUUAAGGUAGGCGGAAUGUGUAAUGUAGCGGUGAAAUGCUUAGAUAUUACACAGAACACCAAUUGCGUAGGCAGCUUACUGAGCCGACACUGACGCUGAGGCACGAAAGCGUGGGGAUCGAACAG
rnacentral:rRNA from 1 species